UACGAGGGGUGCAAGCGUUGCUCGGAAUCAUUGGGCGUAAAGGGUAGGUAGGUGGUCUCAUUUGUCUGAGGUGAAAGCCUUGAGCUUAACUCAAGAAGUGCCUCGGAAACGGUGAGACUGGAGUCCUGGAGAGGGUCGUGGAAUUCCCGGUGUAGCGGUGAAAUGCGUAGAGAUCGGGAGGAACACCAGAGGCGAAAGCGGCGACCUGGACAGGUACUGACACUUAACUACGAAAGCGUGGGGAGCAAACAGG
rnacentral:rRNA from 1 species